CGGAGUGUAGCUCAGUCUGGUAGAGCAUAUGCCUUGGGCGCAUAGGGUCGUGAGUUCGAAUCUCGCCACUCCGA
rnacentral:tRNA from 1 species